AGCGAACGCUGGCGGCAGGCCUAACACAUGCAAGUCGAACGAACCCUUCGGGGUUAGUGGCGGACGGGUGAGUAACACGUGGGAACGUGCCUUUAGGUUCGGAAUAACUCAGGGAAACUUGUGCUAAUACCGAAUGUGCCCUUCGGGGGAAAGAUUUAUCGCCUUUAGAGCGGCCCGCGUCUGAUUAGCUAGUUGGUGAGGUAAUGGCUCACCAAGGCUACGAUCAGUAGCUGGUCUGAGAGGAUGAUCAGCCACAUUGGGACUGAGACACGGCCCAAACUCCUACGGGAGGCAGCAGUGGGGAGUCUUGCGCAAUGGGCGAAAGCCUGACGCAGCCAUGCCGCGUGAAUGAUGAAGGUCUUAGGAUUGUAAAAUUCUUUCACCGGGGACGAUAAUGACGGUACCCGGAGAAGAAGCCCCGGCUAACUUCGUGCCAGCCGCCGCCGUAAGAC
rnacentral:rRNA from 1 species